rnacentral:tRNA from 1 species
GAGGGUGUAGCUCAGUGGCAGAGCACAAGACUAGCAUGCAUGAGGUCCUGGGUUCGAUCCCCAGUGCCUCCA